CAGGGGCGUGCUUACCAUGCAAGUCGAACGAGAACGGAUUAUAGCUUGCUAUAAUUGUCAGCUAAGUGGCGCACGGGUGAGUAAUGUAUAGGUAAUAUGCCUCUUACUAAGGGAUAACAAAUGGAAACGUUUGCUAAUACCUUAUACUCCUUAUUAACAGAAGUUAAUAAGGGAAAGAUUUAUUGGUAAGAGAUUAGCCUGUAUUGUAUCAGUUAGUUGGUGGGGUAAUGGCUUACCAAGACUAUGACACAUAACUGGUUUGAGAGGAUGAUCAGUCACACUGGAACUGAGACACGGUCCAGACUCCUACGGGAGGCAGCAGUGGGGAAUAUUGCACAAUGGACGAAAGUCUGAUGCAGCAACGCCGCGUGGAGGAUGACACAUUUCGGUGCGUAAACUCCUUUUAUAUGAGAAGAUAAUGACGGUAUUAUAUGAAUAAGCACCGGCUAACUCCGUGCCAGCAGCCGCGGUAAUACGGGGGGUGCAAGCGUUACUCGGAAUCACUGGGCGUAAAGAGCAUGUAGGCGGAUUAAUAAGUUUGAAGUGAAAUCCUAUAGCUUAACUAUAGAACUGCUUUGAAAACUGUUAAUCUAGAAUGUGGGAGAGGUAGAUGGAAUUUCUGGUGUAGGGGUAAAAUCCGUAGAGAUCAGAAGGAAUACCGAUUGCGAAGGCGAUCUACUGGAACAUUAUUGACGCUGAGAUGCGAAAGCGUGGGGAGCAAACAGGAUUAGAUACCCUGGUAGUCCACGCCCUAAACGAUGUACACUAGUUGUUGUGAGACUUGAUCUUGCAGUAAUGCAGUUAACACAUUAAGUGUACCGCCUGGGGAGUACGGUCGCAAGAUUAAAACUCAAAGGAAUAGACGGGGACCCGCACAAGCGGUGGAGCAUGUGGUUUAAUUCGACGAUACACGAAGAACCUUACCUGGACUUGACAUAGUAAAGACUUUCUAGAGAUAGAUUGGUGUCUGCUUGCAGAACUUUAUUCAGGGGCUGCCCGGUUUCCUCACUCCGGUCCGGAAAAUUUGGGUUAAUCCCGC
rnacentral:rRNA from 1 species